GAUCAUAUAAAAUAAAAAGACCAUCGGAUCGGUUUGAAUCGGUGCUCUCAUAAGUUAAUAGCACCGGUUUUAAUCAGUGCGAACUCUUCUUCCCUUAUUCAUUCUCUUUCCCUUUCAUUUUUCAUUUCCAUUCUCUCUAUUCUCUCUCCUCUCUUUCCUUAACCAAACCCUCAGCCGCAGCCGCAGCCGCAGCCGUAGCUGUAACAACCGCUGCUCACAGAUUCUCUCUCCCCUUUUCUUUUCAUGCUCUCUUCUCUAGCCUCCUUUUACCCUAUCAAUCGUUUUCUAGGGUUUAUCGCCAUUGUUAUACCUCUAAAUCUCAAUCUCAUAUCCAAUCACCUCUCUCUAAUUUCUAGGGUUUCGAAUUACGCUGAUGCUGCAAUAAAUGGAGGCUGGAGUUGGUGGUGAUUAAAUUGAUGUUGUUGAACACAAAGAGGCAAACUAAUAUCAGCAGGCUACACUUCUUCUUUCUUAAGAUGGAAGGAUUUCAGAAAGGAGGAGAGCAGGAGAUGAUAAUUUAGCGUCAUUUUAGACGGGAAGAUCAACAACUUUUCUCUGAUAUGGCACAACAGCUUGGUCUAUACUUAUAGUUAUGUGAAGGCUAGAACAUGUAUUUCUGAGUGUGUAUAACUCGUGAGAUGUUUAAUAAGUGUUGGAUGGUUCAACGUGCUUUGUAUGACGUUUUUGCUGCCGAUGCUACUGCUUUGCUAGAUAGUUGAUAUGCUGCUGUUUAAUGCUGCUACUCUUAUUGAAAUUAAGUUAUUGUAAUUUUUCCCCUCGAAAAAAAGGUUGUUGUAAUUUUUGUUGUCCUUUUAUUUUAUUUUCUUUUGGAUGAAAAGCGUAAAUAUUUCCUAGUUAUUAAUGAAAAUAAAUUAGUUUUCAUAUAUAUA